rnacentral:rRNA from 1 species
ACGGAAGGCAGCAGUGGGGAAUAUUGCACAAUGGGGGAAACCCUGAUGCAGCGACGCCGCGUGAGUGAAGAAGUUAUUCGUAAUGUAAAGCUCUAUCAGCAGGGAAGAUGAUGACGGUACCUGACUAAGAAGCACCGGCUAAAUACGUGCCAGCAGCCGCGGUAAUACGUAUGGUGCAAGCGUUAUCCGGAUUUACUGGGUGUAAAGGGAGCGCAGACGGCUUUGCAAGUCUGAAGUGAAAUCCGCGGGCUCAACCCGUGAACUGCUUUGGAAACUGUAGAGCUAGAGUGUCGGAGAGGUAAGUGGAAUUCCUAGUGUAGCGGUGAAAUGCGUAGAUAUUAGGAGGAACACCAGUGGCGAAGGCGGCUUACUGGACGAUAACUGACGUUGAGGCUCGAAAGCGUGGGGAGCAAACAGGAUUAGAUACCCUGGUA